AUUGAACGCUGGCGGCAUGCCUUACACAUGCAAGUCGAACGGUAACAGGCCUUCGGAUGCUGACGAGUGGCGAACGGGUGAGUAAUAUAUCGGAACGUGCCCAGUAGUGGGGGAUAGCCCGGCGAAAGCCGGAUUAAUACCGCAUACGACCUGAGGGUGAAAGGGGGGGAUUCGCAAGAACCUCUCGCUAUUGGAGCGGCCGAUAUCAGAUUAGGUAGUUGGUGGGGUAAAGGCCUACCAAGCCUGCGAUCUGUAGUUGGUCUGAGAGGACGACCAGCCACACUGGGACUGAGACACGGCCCAGACUCCUACGGGAGGCAGCAGUGGGGAAUUUUGGACAAUGGGCGCAAGCCUGAUCCAGCAAUGCCGCGUGCAGGAAGAAGGCCUUCGGGUUGUAAACUGCUUCUGUCAGGGAAGAAAUCCUCUGGGUUAAUACCUCGGGGGGAUGACGGUACCUGAAGAAUAAGCACCGGCUAACUACGUGCCAGCCGCCGCCGUAACAC
rnacentral:rRNA from 1 species